UCUUUCUUAGAGCAUUGAUUGGCAGUAUGGGGGCUGGGUGGGAAAGGAGAAAUGAGAAAUGAACUGAGGUUAUUGAAGGAAGUGACAGAUUCUAGAGAGAUUCAGAAGGUAGAACUGAUAUACCUUAUUAGAAAUUCUAAGAACUUCUGGGACAGGAAAUUAAAAGAGAAAGAAAAACAGACUGAAAUUUAGUGCAAGCCCACAGAAAGGGAGCACUGACAAGCUCUGACUGAGGGGAUUGACCAUGAUGGUAAAAGGACUGGGAAGCUGCCAUUAAAGACUUGGGAAAAGUGAGACCAUGGGAUGAAGUUGCUGUCUUCAGUCUCUGAAAGAUUACCACAGAGCUCCGAGGGAAGAACAAAGGCCAAAAAGUGAAAAUUUAAGCAGAUUUCAACUCAGUUCCACUAAAAUAUUUCCAGUGGUCAGAACUACAAUUUCCAGGGGUCUACCAUGCAGAGUUUAAUGCAGGCCAUGGAGGGACAAUGUCAAAAUAUGCGCUCACAUGGAUUGCCUCCAGAGUGAUAGACAGCUAAUUUCAGCUCAUAUUGAAAAGCUAAAGAACCGAGGUACACUCUGCGAAACCCAGGACCCG